rnacentral:rRNA from 1 species
GACGAACGCUGGCGGCGUGCUUAACACAUGCAAGUCGAACGGUAAGGCUCCAGCUUGCUGGGGUACACGAGUGGCGAACGGGUGAGUAACACGUGGGUGAUCUGCCCUGCACUUCGGGAUAAGCCUGGGAAACUGGGUCUAAUACCGGAUAGGACCGCACCGUGAGGGUGUGGUGGAAAGUUUUUUCGGUGUGGGAUGGGCCCGCGGCCUAUCAGCUUGUUGGUGGGGUAAUGGCCUACCAAGGCGGCGACGGGUAGCCGGCCUGAGAGGGUGGACGGCCACAUUGGGACUGAGACACGGCCCAGACUCCUACGGGAGGCAGCAGUGGGGAAUAUUGCACAAUGGGCGGAAGCCUGAUGCAGCGACGCCGCGUGGGGGAUGACGGCCUUCGGGUUGUAAACUCCUUUCACCAUCGACGAAGGGUUUCUGACGGUAGAUGGAGAAGAAGCACCGGCUAACUACGUGCCAGCAGCCGCGGUAAUACGUAGGGUGCGAGCGUUGUCCGGAAUUACUGGGCGUAAAGAGCUCGUAGGUGGUUUGUCGCGUCGUCUGUGAAAUUCCGGGGCUUAACUCCGGGCGUGCAGGCGAUACGGGCAUAACUUGAGUACUGUAGGGGAGACUGGAAUUCCUGGUGUAGCGGUGAAAUGCGCAGAUAUCAGGAGGAACACCGGUGGCGAAGGCGGGUCUCUGGGCAGUAACUGACGCUGAGGAGCGAAAGCAUGGGGAGCGAACAGGAUUAGAUACCCUGGUAGUCCAUGCCGUAAACGGUGGGCGCUAGGUGUGGGUUUCCUUCCACGGGAUCCGUGCCGUAGCUAACGCAUUAAGCGCCCCGCCUGGGGAGUACGGCCGCAAGGCUAAAACUCAAAGGAAUUGACGGGGGCCCGCACAAGCGGCGGAGCAUGUGGAUUAAUUCGAUGCAACGCGAAGAACCUUACCUGGGCUUGACAUAUACAGGAUCGCGCCAGAGAUGGUGUUUCCCUUGUGGCUUGUAUACAGGUGGUGCAUGGUUGUCGUCAGCUCGUGUCGUGAGAUGUUGGGUUAAGUCCCGCAACGAGCGCAACCCUUGCCUUAUGUUGCCAGCACGUUGUGGUGGGGACUCGUAAGAAACUGCCGGGGUUAACUCGGAGGAAGGUGGGGAUGACGUCAAAUCAUCAUGCCCCUUAUGUCCAGGGCUUCACACAUGCUACAAUGGUCGGUACAGUGGGUUGCCAGUCCGUGAGGGCGAGCUGAUCCCGCAAAGCCGGUCUCAGUUCGGAUCGGGGUCUGCAACUCGACCCCGUGAAGUCGGAGUCGCUAGUAAUCGCAGAUCAGCAACGCUGCGGUGAAUACGUUCCCGGGCCU